GUUAGAACUAAUCUUGGCAUAUGUAUCUGCAUGUGUUUUUUUGUUUUGCAUGUAGCUAGUGUAGUCAUAUCGUCGGCUGUACACCGGCAAGAUGUACGUGUGAUACGUACGUAGACAGCGAGCCGUCGGCCCAAGAACGUGCAUGGUGAGAUGCUAUUGUCGUGCGAGGCGGCGGAGGUGCGAGAUGCCGAGUGUCGUGUGAAGCAGCUGCACAAGGAUAAGAGCCAGCGGCCAGCAAGAGUCCAGCCGAGUCGAUCAGUAAGUCUGUUGUGGCCUUGAGAAGAGGUCUAGUAUUAGAUGUGGUCAAGUUUGUUAGCUGCAUGUCCAGAUCGUGUAGCUGUUGAGAGGACGUUGCGCAUGUACUGGACGUGGGCGUGCAUGUAGACAUGUAGUUAGGGAUUAGUUGGUUAGUGGCCGGACUUAGUGGCCUGUGUGCAUGGCAUGAGUCUGGUCCUUUGUAUAUAAAUAUGGCAACAGGGUAAUGAAAAGUAUUGAAGCCGUGAGGGCUGGCAGAUGAAACAAUGUAGUGUAUGUGUGUCUCACCGGGAGUAGAAAGCAAAGCUAGUGUCUCCACGGUGAGUUGUGUGUGUGUGUUCCUCCGUGUGUGUGCGUUUUAUUCUCUUGAUAGAUAGAGAGAGAAGGAGAGUUGUGUGAGGCAGCUCAAGGUAGAAGAAGAAGUGGCGCUGCGAGGUGAGGCGGCGCGAACAAUUGGUAUCAGAGCCUUGUUGAUCCGUGGCGGCGACGGUGGUGCUGGCGGCUAUGGUGGCUGGCGUGGCGGUGGCGCCGACUACGCGGCGGACUCCAUGUGAGGUGGAGGACGUCGGCACGAGGUGGGUGGCCGUCGGCGGUGCGAUGCUGCCGGUGGCCGGUUGCGGUGUGAUGCCGCUAGAUGAUGGCGGUGCGAAGCUGCCACAAGACGACGGUGUGACGCCGUUGGGAGGUACGAAGGCGCGAGGCCGUUAUGAGGAGAAGAUGGCGUGGCGAUCGGCGCCGUGAAGGCGUCGUCCACGUGAAGACAUGGCCGCUGCAUGCGGCAGGAGGUCGUGGUGCCGCGACAGCGUCGUCCACGGCAAGACAGCGCAAGGUGGGCUCCGUUGGCGGCACAAUGGUGUUGAUGGCUAGUUGCGGUGCGAUGCCGCAACAUGAUGAUUGUGUGGUGAUCGGCGUCGCGAGGACGUCAUCCAUGAUAAGAUGGUCCAUGGUGACCGGCGCUGCGACGGCGUCGGUGGCGGCGAGUGGCCGGCUGCGGCGCUGCGAUGGCGUCGUCAAGUGGUUGCGGGUGAUCCGCAUGAGGAUUUGGCGAGUUGGCAUGACAAGAUUAGGGAGGUGAUUGUUAGAACUAAUCUUGGCAUAUGUAUCUGCAUGUGUUUUUUUGUUUUGCAUGUAGCUAGUGUAGUCAUAUCGUCGGCUGUACACCGGCAAGAUGUACGUGUGAUACGUACGUAGACAGCGAGCCGUCGGCCCAAGAACGUGCAUGGUGAGAUGCUAUUGUCGUGCGAGGCGGCGGAGGUGCGAGAUGCCGAGUGCCGUGUGAAGCAGCUGCACAAGGAUAAGAGCCAGCGGCCAGCAAGAGUCCAGCCGAGUCGAUCAGUAAGUCUGUUGUGGCCUUGAGAAGAGGUCUAGUAUUAGAUGUGGUCAAGUUUGUUAGCUGCAUGUCCAGAUCGUGUAGCUGUUGAGAGGACGUUGCGCAUGUACUGGACGUGGGCGUGCAUGUAGACAUGUAGUUAGGGAUUAGUUGGUUAGUGGCCGGACUUAGUGGCCUGUGUGCAUGGCAUGAGUCUGGUCCUUUGUAUAUAAAUAUGGCAACAGGGUAAUGAAAAGUAUUGAAGCCGUGAGGGCUGGCAGAUGAAACAAUGUAGUGUAUGUGUGUCUCACCGGGAGUAGAAAGCAAAGCUAGUGUCUCCACGGUGAGUUGUGUGUGUGUGUUCCUCCGUGUGUGUGCGUUUUAUUCUCUUGAUAGAUAGAGAGAGAAGGAGAGUUGUGUGAGGCAGCUCAAGGUAGAAGAAGAAGUGGCGCUGCGAGGUGAGGCGGCGCCAACAGAGGGCUCUAUUCUCUCAUGAUGCGUUUCCUGGGUUAUUGUUCUGACACGCAAGGGAGAAUUGCAAACUAUGAAGGAAAGUUUGUCAUGGCAGAUCUGCGAAAUUGGUUGCUGUAUUUUGAGUAUGUACCAAAUGGAAGCCUAGACAAGUAUAUUACCGGUAAUGGUCGCAACACCUUUUUUAUA